rnacentral:rRNA from 1 species
CAGCCGUAAACUAUGCUCGCUAGGUGUCAGGCAUGGCGCGACCGUGUCUGGUGCCGCAGGGAAGCCGUGAAGCGAGCCACCUAGGAAGUACGGCCGCAAGGCUGAAACUUAAGGAAUUGGCGGGGGAGCACAACAACGGGUGGAGCCUGCGGUUUAAUUGGACUCAACGCCGGACAACUCACCGGGGACGACAGCAAUAUGUAGGCCAGGCUGAAGACCUUGCCUGAAUCGCUGAGAGGAGGUGCAUGGCGUAGACGUCU